CCACUGUGCGAUGACAAGACCCUCUCCUACCUCUUCAUCGGGCUUGACACUGACUAUGACCUAAUUGUGACAUCACUAACGUCUCGAUUUGAUCCUCUUUGCCUCGAUGACAUCUACACUCAUCUGCUUACCUUUGAGA